AUGUCUUCGAAGAGGAGAAGAAAGAGAAAGGGCCUCAAGUUCCAACCAUUGAUUUGAAGGAAGUGGACUCUGAGGACAGAGUCGUUCGCGAGAAAUGCAGGGCAGAUCUUGUAAAGGCAGCCAAAGAGUGGGGUGUCAUGCACUUGGUUAACCAUGGCAUUUCUGAUGAUCUCAUUGAUCGUGUCAAAAAAGCUGGGCAGGCUUUCUUUGAUCUUCCUAUUGAAGAAAAGGAGAGGUAUGCCAAUGAUCAGGUUUCAGGGAAAAUUCAAGGAUAUGGAAGCAAACUGGCUAACAAUGCUUCUGGGCAGCUCGAGUGGGAGG
rnacentral:misc_RNA from 1 species